rnacentral:misc_RNA from 1 species
UACGGAGGGUGCAAGCGUUAAUCGGAAUUACUGGGCGUAAAGCGCGCGUAGGUGGCUUGAUAAGCCGGUUGUGGAAGCCCCGGGCUCAACCUGGGAACGGCAUCCGAAACUGGCAGGCUAGAGUCUUGUAGAGGGGGGUAGAAUUCCAGGUGUAGCGGUGAAAUGCGUAGAGAUCGGGAGGAAUACCAGUGGCGAAGGCGGCCUUCUGGUCUGACACUGACGCUGAGGUGCGAAAGCGUGGGUAGCAAGCAGG